CCCUGGCCUGGGAGCUGGACGGCGGAGAGCGGAGGAGGAAUGGAGAGAGACGCAGAGGCAGAGACCGGCUCCAUCCGAGUCCCAGCGAGGAGGGAGGCGCGCAGCCGCACAGGCGGAGUCCGGGAGGCACCGCCAGGGUCCGCCGGGGACACCGACCGAGGGCGCCAAGGAAGCAGUGGGGAGCCCAGGACACGACCGCGGACUGGAGGGGCCGCCGCGGGGUCGCGCCGGGCUGCACCGGGCGUCCGACAGCCGGAGAUCGUGCUCCGGGGGCAGCGCCGGCGUCCUGCCGCCCUGCUGCGUCCACCGGGAGACUCCGGGGCCUCCCGCGGGCAGCCGGGCAGCCGGGCAGCCGGAGCGGGCUCCUGGACCCGUGCGGAAGGGUGA
rnacentral:lncRNA from 12 species